AUUGAGCGCUGGCGGCAGGCUUAACACGUGCAAGUCGAGCGGAGAUGAGGUGCUUGCACCUUAUCUUAGCGGCGGACGGGUGAGUAAUGCUUAGGAAUCUGCCUAUUAGUGGGGGACAACAUUCCGAAAGGAAUGCUAAUACCGCAUACGUCCUACGGGAGAGAGCAGGGGAUCUUCGGACCUUGCGCUAAUAGAUGAGCCUAAGUCGGAUUAGCUAGUUGGGGGGGUAAAGGCCUACCAAGGCGACGAUCUGUAGCGGGUCUGAGAGGAUGAACCGCCACACUGGGACGGAGACACGGCCCAGACUCCUACGGGAGGCAGCAGUGGGGAAUAUUGGACAAUGGGGGGAACCCUGAUCCAGCCAUGCCGCGUGUGUGAAGAAGGCCUUAUGGUUGUAAAGCACUUUAAGCGAGGAGGAGGCUACUGAGACUAAUACUCUUGGAUAGUGGACGUUACUCGCAGAAUAAGCACCGGCUAACUCUGUGCCAGCCGCCGCGGUAA
rnacentral:rRNA from 1 species